CGCGUAGGCGGUUUUUUAAGUCUGAUGUGAAAGCCCACGGCUCAACCGUGGAGGGUCAUUGGAAACUGGAAAACUUGAGUGCAGAAGAGGAAAGUGGAAUUCCAUGUGUAGCGGUGAAAUGCGCAGAGAUAUGGAGGAACACCAGUGGCGAAGGCGACUUUCUGGUCUGUAACUGACGCUGAUGUGCGAAAGCGUGGGGAUCAAACG
rnacentral:rRNA from 1 species